CCUACGGGUGGCAGCAGUCGAGAAUCAUUCACAAUGGGGGAAACCCUGAUGCUGCGACGCCGCGUGAGGGAAUGAAUAUCUUCGUAUUGUAAACCCCUGUCAUGUGGGAGCAAAUUAAAACACUAGUACCACAAGAUGCAGCGACGGCUAACUCGGUUCCAGCAGCCGCGGUAAUACAGAGGUCUCAAUCGUUGUUCAGAAUCACUGGGCGUAAAGCGUGCGUAGGCGGUUUCUCAAGUCGGGUGGGAAAGGCGCGGGCUCAACCCGAGGACUGCAAAUGAUACUGGAAGACUAGAGUAAUGGAGGGGGAAGCGGAAUUCCUGGUGUAGCAGUGAAAUGCGUAGAUAUCGAGAGGAACACUCGUGGCGAAGGCGGGUUCCUGGACAUUAACUGACGCUGAGGCACGAAGGCCAGGGGAGCGAAAGGGAUUAGAUACCCCAGUAGUC
rnacentral:rRNA from 1 species